rnacentral:rRNA from 1 species
CCUACGUGAGGCAGCAGUGGGGAAUAUUGCACAAUGGGGGAAACCCUGAUGCAGCGACGCCGCGUGAGUGAAGAAGAAAUUCGUUAUGUAAAGCCCUAUCACCAGGGAAGAAAAUGACGGUACCUGAGUAAGAAGCCCCGGCUACCUACGUCCCAGCAGCCGCGGUAAUACGUAGGGGGCAAGCGUUACCCGGAUUUACUGGGUGUAAAGGGAGCGUAGACGGCAUUGCAAGUCUGGAGUGAAAGGCGGGGGCUCAACCCCCGGACUGCUCUGGAAACUGUACGGCUGGAGUGCAGGAGAGGUAAGUGGAAUUCCUAGUGUAGCGGUGAAAUGCGUAGAUAUUAGGAGGAACACCAGUGGCGAAGGCGGCUUACUGGACUGUAACUGACGUUGAGGCUCGAAAGCGUGGGGAGCAAACAGGAUUAGAUACCCGAGUAGUC